AACUGAAGAGUUUGAUCAUGGCUCAGAUUGAACGCUGGCGGCAGGCUUAACACAUGCAAGUCGAGCGGGGGAAGGUAGCUUGCUACUGGACCUAGCGGCGGACGGGUGAGUAAUGCUUAGGAAUCUGCCUAUUAGUGGGGGACAACGAUCU
rnacentral:rRNA from 1 species